CCCUAAUGCUUUGAAGUGAGCCCCACAUUCAUUGCAUUCAUGUCUUGGCCUCUGAGUAUGAGCAGCACAGCAGCAGAACGGAUGGGGGAGGGGAGGCAGAAACAAACUCCGUCCACACAGCCAGGCCCUUCCGCAGCCGACCGACUAGUACACAACUUUGCAACACUAUUUGCCUACUAAACUCUAUGUAGCACUGGCAUCCAGAUAAGGCGCUAUUUCAACAUAACCUGGUGGAUAACAGCACAAGGUCUGUAGCAGAGCAGAUCUCCCAUCAGAUGCCAUCAGCAGCUGCACACACAGCCCUCUCCCUGGCCUUCCUGAUCACUGGGCCCCCCACAGCGAACAAACCCCAGGGCUCUUGGAGUCCAGGGAAUACCAAUUCAGCUCAACUCCAGCUGACCAGCAAGAUAAACGAUUUACACAGAUUGAGGAACUACCUUUGCAAUUCUGAGUUUCUUACUUCCAUUGUGGACAUGCUGGACAAUCACUCCUACAUCCUAAUCAGCAGGAACGAAGACAAAUGACAUUCUGAUCUCUCAGCUGUAUGUCACGAAUUCAUGUACCCAUUCAAAAUGCUCAAGUUCUGUUCCAACUAUUACAGUGGCUGUGACUGAAUAAUAUACGGCUCAAGCUUCAAUAAACAGGCAAUGACAGCCAUAACGCCCGAUUGAGAUUGAGAGGGAACAGAAUGAGACCUGCAGAUGUUCCUUUGACUUCCUUUCACACUGCUCUGGAGAACCACUGUUGGCUGUAGAGGGAUCUUUCGAAAUAGGCACUGACUCAAUACUACUGUAAAUAUAGUAAUUGCCACCCUUCUAGCUUCGCUACGAACAGUUUUAAGAUGCAGAGAUGGGAUGGACAAAGCAUACAUACAAUGCAUACACUGUCAUUUUUCUUAAUAAACAUGAAUAAAUCCUUAA